GCAUGUCUAAGUAUAAGCAACUAUACGGUGAAACUGCGAAUGGCUCAUUAAAUCAGUUAUCGUUUAUUUGAUAGUACCUUACUACUUGGAUAACCGUGGUAAUUCUAGAGCUAAUACAUGCUAAAAACCCCAACUUCGGAAGGGGUGUAUUUAUUAGAUAAAAAACCAACGCCCUUCGGGGCUCCUUGGUGAUUCAUAAUAACUAAACGAAUCGCAUGGCCUUGCGCCGGCGAUGGUUCAUUCAAAUUUCUGCCCUAUCAACUUUCGAUGGUAGGAUAGUGGCCUACCAUGGUAUCAACGGGUAACGGGGAAUUAGGGUUCUAUUCCGGAGAGGGAGCCUGAGAAACGGCUACCACAUCCAAGGAAGGCAGCAGGCGCGCAAAUUACCCAAUCCCGACACGGGGAGGUAGUGACAAUAAAUACUGAUACAGGGCUCUUUUGGGUCUUGUAAUUGGAAUGAGUACAAUUUAAAUCCCUUAACGAGGAACAAUUGGAGGGCAAGUCUGGUGCCAGCAGCCGCGGUAAUUCCAGCUCCAAUAGCGUAUAUUAAAGUUGUUGCAGUUAAAAAGCUCGUAGUUGAACCUUGGGCCUGGCUGGCCGGUCCGCCUCACCGCGUGUACUGGUCCGGCCGGGCCUUUCCUUCUGGGGAGCCGCAUGCCCUUCACUGGGCGUGUCGGGGAACCAGGACUUUUACUUUGAAAAAAUUAGAGUGUUCAAAGCAGGCCUUUGCUCGAAUACAUUAGCAUGGAAUAAUAGAAUAGGACGUGCGGUUCUAUUUUGUUGGUUUCUAGGACCGCCGUAAUGAUUAAUAGGGAUAGUCGGGGGCAUCAGUAUUCAAUUGUCAGAGGUGAAAUUCUUGGAUUUAUUGAAGACUAACUACUGCGAAAGCAUUUGCCAAGGAUGUUUUCAUUAAUCAGUGAACGAAAGUUAGGGGAUCGAAGACGAUCAGAUACCGUCGUAGUCUUAACCAUAAACUAUGCCGACUAGGGAUCGGGCGAUGUUAUCAUUUUGACUCGCUCGGCACCUUACGAGAAAUCAAAGUCUUUGGGUUCUGGGGGGAGUAUGGUCGCAAGGCUGAAACUUAAAGAAAUUGACGGAAGGGCACCACCAGGCGUAAACUAACUUGCAGCCGCAGUUAACUCUGCGCCUAAAAGCGGCCUGAAAGGGUGAGGUGGUAGCUCGGGGUUCAACACCCCAAAUGUGAACGCUAGUUUUAGGGGAACCUCUUUGUAGGACCUAAGGCAACAUGAUCAAACUGCGGGAAACUCCUUAGAGCCUCUGACUACUAAGUUGGUAAUCGAAAGAUGCCAAUGGCCACGUUAAUUGCGUCGGAUAUAGUCAUAACGUCAGAGGAUUGGACAAUCCGCAUCCAAGCCCCUAAGGUCUUUAAGAGACUAUGGGGAAGGUUCAGAGACUAAAUGGUUGUGGGUUCGGAUGUUGGGUUAAACUUUGACCGUUGGCUUUAUACAUACAUACAUACAUACAUAUUCAUAUUCAUAUCUUUAUCGGGUGAUGGGGUUUUGAUCGGGUUUGAUCGGGUUUGAUCGUGUGUUUGGGUUUUGAGCGGGUGUAGCAUUUAGUCAGAUAGUUACGGAAUAAAAACAGAUUGUACCCUUUAGCCCCCCGGCCUUUAGAUGAACAAGCUGUUAAGUAAUCUAUCGACAAAAUGCCACCUUCAACUUCCACCACCGAAUCAGACACCGGCCAGCGUUCUUUCGCGCGUCGCCACUUUGCGUCUCUCCGCGUCCUUCUUCAGCAACUGCCAAUCAACCACCGUCAGGCAGUCGCCGCCUUCUGGAGGGAACUUCUCGUCAGCCUGAACUCAUUAGACGACGCCCUGGCUUCCGCCGCCGCUCCGCCGUCCGUCGUUGCGCCAUUUCCACCGCCGGCUGCUCAUCCAGAGACGCCCGCCUCGUCUCAGGGAACGGAAGACGUGCGAUACGAGAUCGACGCCGCUUUUCGCGCCGCGGCCUCUGUCCACGCCACCGCUAGUGAGACUAUCGAGGAGAUUCUGGGUUUAGACCAGGAUUGGGCGUUAGGAAAGUUGCAAGGUCAGCGGAGGGUUACGAAUGAGCUGGGCUGCUGGUUGUCCACCAAUGUCGCCUCGAGUUUUGGAGGAGGAAAUGUUUGUUACCCGUUAGAGAGUUAAGCCCUGGAAAACAUCAUUACGGCAGCCCUUCGGGGCCUGUUGUUGCGGAGUAAUCAUGAUUACCAGGUGCCUUUCUGUGACGGUGACAUGCUAUGUUGUAUUAUUAUUAUCCUUGUAUGAAUAUAUUGUAUGUGUAUGAAGUGGGAACAGUUAAAGUGGGACUUGACAUUCGGGCUUAAGAUAUAGUCCGGCCACACGUGAAAGCGUGUGGGUUAGAAAUUGGUAUCCAAUAAACGGGAGCCUGCGGCUUAAUUUGACUCAACACGGGGAAACUCACCAGGUCCAGACACAAUAAGGAUUGACAGAUUGAGAGCUCUUUCUUGAUUUUGUGGGUGGUGGUGCAUGGCCGUUCUUAGUUGGUGGAGUGAUUUGUCUGCUUAAUUGCGAUAACGAACGAGACCUUAACCUGCUAAAUAGCCCGGCCCGCUUUGGCGGGUCGCCGGCUUCUUAGAGGGACUAUCGGCUCAAGCCGAUGGAAGUUUGAGGCAAUAACAGGUCUGUGAUGCCCUUAGAUGUUCUGGGCCGCACGCGCGCUACACUGACAGAGCCAACGAGUUCAUUUCCUUGCCCGGAAGGGUUGGGUAAUCUUGUUAAACUCUGUCGUGCUGGGGAUAGAGCAUUGCAAUUAUUGCUCUUCAACGAGGAAUGCCUAGUAAGCGUACGUCAUCAGCGUGCGUUGAUUACGUCCCUGCCCUUUGUACACACCGCCCGUCGCUACUACCGAUUGAAUGGCUGAGUGAGGCCUUCGGACUGGCCCAGGCAGGUCGGCAACGACCACCCAGGGCCGGAAAGUUGGUCAAACUCCGUCAUUUAGAGGAAGUAAAAGUC
rnacentral:precursor_RNA from 1 species